CUCCGCCUGGGGAGUNCGACCGCAAGGUUGAAACUCAAAGGAAUUGACGGGGGCCCGCACAAGCGGUGGAGCAUGUGGUUUAAUUNGAAGCAACGCGAAGAACCUUACCAGGUCUUGACAUCCCUCUGACCGCUCUAGAGAUAGAGCUUUCCUUCGGGACAGAGGUGACGGGUGGUGCAUGGUUGUCGUCAGCUCGUGUCGUGAGAUGUUGGGUUAAGUCCCGCAACGAGCGCAACCCCUAUUGUUAGUUGCCAUCAUUUAGUUGGGCACUCUAGCGAGACUGCCGGUAAUAAACCGGAGGAAGGUGGGGAUGACGUCAAAUCAUCAUGCCCCUUAUGACCUGGGCUACACACGUGCUACAAUGGCUGGUACAACGAGUCGCAAGUCGGUGACGGCAAGCUAAUCUCUUAAAGCCAGUCUCAGUUCGGAUUGUAGGCUGCAACUCGCCUACAUGAAGUCGGAAUCGCUAGUAAUCGCGGAUCAGCACGCCGCGGUGAAUACGUUCCCGGGCCUUGUACAC
rnacentral:rRNA from 1 species